rnacentral:rRNA from 1 species
AGUGUGUGUGUUAGUGGAAGCGUCUGGAAAGGCGCGCGAUACAGGGUGACAGCCCCGUACACAAAAAUGCACAUGCUGUGAGCUCGAUGAGUAGGGCGGGACACGUGGUAUCCUGUCUGAAUAUGGGGGGACCAUCCUCCAAGGCUAAAUACUCCUGACUGACCGAUAGUGAACCAGUACCGUGAGGGAAAGGCGAAAAGAACCCCGGCGAGGGGAGUGAAAAAGAACCUGAAACCGUGUACGUACAAGCAGUGGGAGCCUCUUUUAUGGGGUGACUGCGUACCUUUUGUAUAAUGGGUCAGCGACUUAUAUUCUGUAGCAAGGUUAACCGAAUAGGGGAGCCGAAGGGAAACCGAGUCUUAACUGGGCGUUAAGUUGCAGGGUAUAGACCCGAAACCCGGUGAUCUAGCCAUGGGCAGGUUGAAGGUUGGGUAACACUAACUGGAGGACCGAACCGACUAAUGUUGAAAAAUUAGCGGAUGACUUGUGGCUGGGGGUGAAAGGCCAAUCAAACCGGGAGAUAGCUGGUUCUCCCCGAAAGCUAUUUAGGUAGCGCCUCGUGAAUUCAUCUCCGGGGGUAGAGCACUGUUUCGGCAAGGGGGUCAUCCCGACUUACCAACCCGAUGCAAACUGCGAAUACCGGAGAAUGUUAUCACGGGAGACACACGGCGGGUGCUAACGUCCGUCGUGAAGAGGGAAACAACCCAGACCGCCAGCUAAGGUCCCAAAGUCAUGGUUAAGUGGGAAACGAUGUGGGAAGGCCCAGACAGCCAGGAUGUUGGCUUAGAAGCAGCCAUCAUUUAAAGAAAGCGUAAUAGCUCACUGGUCGAGUCGGCCUGCGCGGAAGAUGUAACGGGGCUAAACCAUGCACCGAAGCUGCGGCAGCGACGCUUAUGCGUUGUUGGGUAGGGGAGCGUUCUGUAAGCCUGUGAAGGUGUGCUGUGAGGCAUGCUGGAGGUAUCAGAAGUGCGAAUGCUGACAUAAGUAACGAUAAAGCGGGUGAAAAGCCCGCUCGCCGGAAGACCAAGGGUUCCUGUCCAACGUUAAUCGGGGCAGGGUGAGUCGACCCCUAAGGCGAGGCCGAAAGGCGUAGUCGAUGGGAAACAGGUUAAUAUUCCUGUACUUGGUGUUACUGCGAAGGGGGGACGGAGAAGGCUAUGUUGGCCGGGCGACGGUUGUCCCGGUUUAAGCGUGUAGGCUGGUUUUCCAGGCAAAUCCGGAAAAUCAAGGCUGAGGCGUGAUGACGAGGCACUACGGUGCUGAAGCAACAAAUGCCCUGCUUCCAGGAAAAGCCUCUAAGCAUCAGGUAACAUCAAAUCGUACCCCAAACCGACACAGGUGGUCAGGUAGAGAAUACCAAGGCGCUUGAGAGAACUCGGGUGAAGGAACUAGGCAAAAUGGUGCCGUAACUUCGGGAGAAGGCACGCUGAUAUGUAGGUGAAGUCCCUUGCGGAUGGAGCUGAAAUCAGUCGAAGAUACCAGCUGGCUGCAACUGUUUAUUAAAAACACAGCACUGUGCAAACACGAAAGUGGACGUAUACGGUGUGACGCCUGCCCGGUGCCGGAAGGUUAAUUGAUGGGGUCAGCGCAAGCGAAGCUCUUGAUCGAAGCCCCGGUAAACGGCGGCCGUAACUAUAACGGUCCUAAGGUAGCGAAAUUCCUUGUCGGGUAAGUUCCGACCUGCACGAAUGGCGUAAUGAUGGCCAGGCUGUCUCCACCCGAGACUCAGUGAAAUUGAACUCGCUGUGAAGAUGCAGUGUACCCGCGGCAAGACGGAAAGACCCCGUGAACCUUUACUAUAGCUUGACACUGAACAUUGAGCCUUGAUGUGUAGGAUAGGUGGGAGGCUUAGAAGUGUGGACGCCAGUCUGCAUGGAGCCGACCUUGAAAUACCACCCUUUAAUGUUUGAUGUUCUAACGUUGACCCGUAAUC